ACUACCUUAAUAAAUCACUACUAAUUAUAUUUAUUACCCGUUCACUUCUCAGGCGUUUUCAGCUACCGACAGUUCUUGUCCGUUAACAAAUGUUGCAGGAUUCCGUCCAGUAAAUGAGCACCAAGGCCAGCUGCAACUUUCAUCUAAACAUCAAAUACAACAUCUUCAACACCCAACUCAAUUUAAUCCUCUCCCGCAAGGACAUCACCCAACAAUGCAACAAAGCCAACUUUCUCCACACUUCCCUCACUUGCAUCAAUGUACGCAUUCAUCUCAUGUACCUGAUAUUGCUCAUCAACAUCUAGCGCCUACCAUGCCUCAACAUAUGCCCUGCAUGCAAUCACUUCCUGGAGUUCAUGUAGGCAGCCGUUUACAUUUGCUGAUUAAUUGAAGCACGUCUAUGUUAAAUUAGUAUUGAAGAUGUUAUUUUCAUGAGCUUGGUGGUUGAGCUCCCUCCCUUUUCUUGAAAUCUCAGGUUCAAAUUUCUGAAAUGAUAUUUCAAAUUAAAUUUAUGGAGACAUGGUACGAAAGAUGAGUUCCAAAUGUUGAAAAGCAUUGAAGUUGAAGCCCUUCACAUCAGGAUAUAGAAUUAAUUUUGAAGCCCAUUUGAUUUAGAAUAAUUUUUAGUAAAUGCACUGUUCUUGAAGCCAUGAUGCUUUUAGUAUAUUCAUUGAUGGUUAGAUAAGGGUAUUUUAGUUUCCUACUACAUGGCAUUAUCCUUCACUAUGGGUUAAAUUCCAGGAUGUUUUAUGAUAUUAGUCAAAACUGUAAUCAGAACAAUGCUAAUAUCGAUGUACGCAGAAUAAUGACACCAUACGUCUAAUUUGUUUUGGCACCAUUGA